rnacentral:rRNA from 1 species
GGGGUACUCUAUGCUGAGAUCUGAUAGCAAGCUGUACUUGUACAGCGAAGUGGUUGAUGCCAUGCUUCCAGGAAAAGUCUCUAAGCUUCAGUUACACAGGAAUCGUACCCGAAACCGACACAGGUGGUCAGGUCGAGUAGACCAAGGCGCUUGAGAGAACUCUGCUGAAGGAACUAGGCAAAAUGGUACCGUAACUUCGGGAGAAGGUACGCUGUUGUUGGUGAUGGAACUCGCUUCCUGAGCUGACGACAGCCGCAGAAACCAGGCCGCUGCAACUGUUUAUUAAAAACAUAGCACUCUGCAAACACGAAAGUGGACGUAUAGGGUGUGAUGCCUGCCCGGUGCUGGAAGGUUAAUUGAUGGGGUUAGCGUAAGCGAAGCUCUUGAUCGAAGCCCCAGUAAACGGCGGCCGUAACUAUAACGGUCCUAAGGUAGCGAAAUUCCUUGUCGGGUAAGUUCCGACCUGCACGAAUGGCAUAAUGAUGGCGGCGCUGUCUCCAGCAGAGGCUCAGUGAAAUCGAAAUCGCUGUGAAGAUGCAGUGUACCCGCGGCUAGACGGAAAGACCCCGUGAACCUUUACUGCAGCUUGACACUGAACUUUGACCUUACUUGUGUAGGAUAGGUGGGAGGCUUUGAAGCUGGAACGCUAGUUCCAGUGGAGCCGUCCUUGAAAUACCACCCUGGUAAUGUUGAGGUUCUAACUCUGUCCCGUGAUCCGGGACGAGGACCGUGUCUGGUGGGUAGUUUGACUGGGGCGGUCUCCUCCUAAAGAGUAACGGAGGAGUACGAAGGUGCGCUCAGCGUGGUCGGAAAUCACGCGUAGAGUAUAAAGGCAAAAGCGCGCUUAACUGCGAGACCCACAAGUCGAGCAGGUACGAAAGUAGGUCUUAGUGAUCCGGUGGUUCUGUAUGGAAGGGCCAUCGCUCAACGGAUAAAAGGUACUCUGGGGAUAACAGGCUGAUACCGCCCAAGAGUUCAUAUCGACGGCGGUGUUUGGCACCUCGAUGUCGGCUCAUCUCAUCCUGGGGCUGAAGCAGGUCCCAAGGGUAUGGCUGUUCGCCAUUUAAAGAGGUACGCGAGCUGGGUUUAGAACGUCGUGAGACAGUUCGGUCCCUAUCUACCGUGGGCGCUGGAAAUUUGAGAGGAUCUGCUCCUAGUACGAGAGGACCAGAGUGGACGAACCUCUGGUGUACCGGUUGUGACGCCAGUCGCAUCGCCGGGUAGCUAUGUUCGGAAGGGAUAACCGCUGAAAGCAUCUAAGCGGGAAGCCUACCUCAAGAUAAGAUUUCCCUAGGACUUUAUGUCCUCUAAAGAGCCGUUCGAGACUAGGACGUUGAUAGGUUGGAUGUGGAAGCAUAGUGAUAUGUGAAGCUGACCAAUACUAAUUGCUCGUGAGGCUUGACUAU